GAUGAAGAACGUAGCGAAUUGCGAUAAGUAAUGUGAAUUGCAGAAUUCAGUGAAUCAUCGAGUCUUUGAACGCACAUUGCGCCCCCUGGUAUUCCGGGGGGCAUGCCUGUCCGAGCGUCAUUGCUGCCCUCAAGCACGGCUUGUGUGUUGGGCCUCCGUCCUCCUCCCGGGGGACGGGCCCGAAAGGCAGCGGCGGCACCGCGUCCGGUCCUCGAGCGUAUGGGGCUUCGUCACCCGCUCUUGUAGGCCCGGCCGGCGCUUGCCGACACAUCAAUCUUUUUUCCAGGUUGACCUCGGAUCAGGUAGGGAUACCCGCUGAACUUAAGCAUAUCAAUAAGCGGAGGA
rnacentral:misc_RNA from 1 species